rnacentral:tRNA from 1 species
GCUUGUUUAGCUCAGGGUUAGAGCACUGAUCUAGUAAACCAGGGGUCCUGAGUUCAAAUCUCUGAUGAGGCU